UACAUUUAAGUAUAAGAAGUACGAAAAUUUUUGAUAUUUUUGGAAGUGGUUUGAUUCCACUAAAUGUAA
rnacentral:tRNA from 1 species